UAUUAUGAUGAUUUUUAUAAUUGUAUCAAUAUUUUAAUCACCGGUGUUUAACACGAGUGUUCAUUUCUUAACCAUAUAUAUUUAUAAAUUAAACGCAUGGUAUUUAUAUAGAUUGCAAAUUAAACACCAGUGUUUAAUACGCUAUGAUAGAAAAUGACGCAGUUGAUUAUGUCAUAACAUGCCAUUUGAACGCAGAAGAUGCAGAAUCACGCAUAUGCUGACAAGAAACACCAUAUCUAACAAGGAAACAGGAGGGACGUUCAUCUGUUAUUGUGAAUCCUGAGAAGCAUACAUUACCUGAUAAAGGAAAGGGAUUUUAAACGAAGAUCAUACUUAACCUUGAGAGGAUAUUUCUGAUGAGAAUAAGGAACUAAAACUACUUAGGGUGAAUAAAAUUUUGGAGAAUGGAAAACUGGAGAUCAUCAUCCGUUGCAGAAGAACCUGAAUUUUACACACAACCAGAAGAGCUAAUCUGUUUAACUUGGUUAGAAUAUUAUAUGAAAUUUAGUGUUUUAUACCCCGGCAGCUCCUGUCUAAUUGCAAGAAUAUUUAAUGAA